GAUGAAGAACGUAGCGAAAUGAGAUAAGUAAUGUGAAUUGCAGAAUUCAGUGAAUCAUCGAAUCUUUGAACGCACAUUGCGCCCCUUGGUAUUCCAUGGGGCAUGCCUGUUCGAGCGUCAUUUGUACCUUCAAGCUCUGCUUGGUGUUGGGUGUUUGUCUCGCCUCUGCGUGUAGACUCGCCUCAAAACAAUUGGCAGCCGGCGUAUUGAUUUCGGAGCGCAGUACAUCUCGCGCUUUGCACUCAUAACGACGACGUCCAAAAGUACAUUUUUACACUCUUGACCUCGGAUCAGUUAGGGAUACCCGCUGAACUUAAGCAUAUCAAUAAGCGGAGA
rnacentral:misc_RNA from 1 species